GACGAACGCUGGCGGCGUGCUUAACACAUGCAAGUCGAACGGAAAGGCCCUUCGGGGUACUCGAGUGGCGAACGGGUGAGUAACACGUGGGUGAUCUGCCCUGCACUUUGGGAUAAGCCUGGGAAACUGGGUCUAAUACCGGAUAGGACUACGCGAUGCAUGUCGUGUGGUGGAAAGCUUUUGCGGUGUGGGAUGGGCCCGCGGCCUAUCAGCUUGUUGGUGAGGUUAUGGCUUACCAAGGCGACGACGGGUAGCCGGCCUGAGAGGGUGACCGGCCAAACUGGGACUGGGAUACGGCCCAGAGUCCUACGGGAGGAAGCAGUAGGGAAUAUUGCACAAUGGGCGCAAGCCUGAUGCAGCGACGCCGCGUGAGGGAUGACGGCCUUCGGGUUGUAAAGUCCUUUUGCUUGGGAACAAUAAUUUGAGCGUACCAAGAGAAUAAGAGGUUGCUAACUCUGUGCCAGCAGCCGCCGUAA
rnacentral:rRNA from 1 species